CAAAGUAUAGCUUAACCUAAAGCACCUCGCUUACACCGAAACAACACCUGUUAAAACCAGGUUACUUUGA
rnacentral:tRNA from 1 species